GAUGAACGCUGGCGGCGUGCCUAACACAUGCAAGUCGAGCGAAGGUAGAAACGAGUACUUGUACAAAUUUUUAUCUUAGCGGCGGACGGGUGAGUAACACGUGAGUAACCUGCCUUUCACUGGGGAAUAACAUCGAGAAAUCGGUGCUAAUACCGCAUAAUGUCACGAGAUCGCAUGGUUUUGUGACCAAAGGAGCAAUCCGGUGAUAGAUGGACUCGCGUCCGAUUAGAUAGUUGGUGAGGUAACGGCCCACCAAGUCAACGAUCGGUAGCCGAACUGAGAGGUUGAUCGGCCACAUUGGGACUGAGACACGGCCCAGACUCCUACGGGAGGCAGCAGUGGGGAAUAUUGGGCAAUGGGCGAAAGCCUGACCCAGCAACGCCGCGUGAAGGAAGAAGGUCUUCGGAUUGUAAACUUCUUUGAUCAGGGACGAAUAAAUGACGGUACCUGAAGAACAAGCCACGGCUAACUACGUGCCAGCAGCCGCGGUAAUAGUGUGU
rnacentral:rRNA from 1 species